UACGUAGGGAGCAAGCGUUGUCCGGAAUUACUGGGCGUAAAGAGCGUGUAGGCGGCCCUUUAAGUCAGAUGUGAAAACUCAGGGCUCAACCCUGAGACUGCAUCUGAUACUGGAGGGCUUGAGUGCAGGAGAGGAAAGUGGAAUUCCUAGUGUAGCGGUGAAAUGCGUAGAUAUUAGGAGGAACACCAGUGGCGAAGGCGACUUUCUGGACUGUAACUGACGCUGAGACGCGAAAGCGUGGGGAGCAAACAGG
rnacentral:rRNA from 1 species